rnacentral:RNase_P_RNA from 1 species
GCAGAUGGCUGGAUGACUGCCGCCGUGUUAAAGCGGGGAAGGAAAGUCCGGGCUCCACACAGACAGGGUGCUGGUUAAUGGCCAGCGAGGGCGACCUUAGGGAAAGUGCCACAGAAAGGAUACCGCCGGUAUACGUAUCGGUAAGGCUGAAAGGGUGCGGUAAGAGCGCACCGGGCUUCUGGCAACAGCGGCCGCAUGGUAAACCCCACCCGGAGCAAAGCCAAUAGGAACGACGCAGACUUUGAUCUGCUGGUGAGUUUGUGCACUAUAGUUCGGGUGGCUGCUUGAGCGUGCUGGUAACAGUCCGCCUAGAGGAAUGGUCAUCGAAGGUUGGGAUUGGCCCGACUGGAACAGAACCCGGCUUAUAGGCCAUCUGCCCUU